rnacentral:rRNA from 1 species
UACGUAGGGACCAAGCGUUGUUCGGAUUUACUGGGCGUAAAGGGCGCGUAGGCGGCCAUUCAAGUCAGUUGUGAAAUCUCCGAGCUUAACUCGGAACGGUCAACUGAUACUGUUUUGCUAGAGUACAGAAGGGGCAAUCGGAAUUCUUGGUGUAGCGGUGAAAUGCGUAGAUAUCAAGAGGAACACCUGAGGUGAAGACGGGUUGCUGGGCUGAUACUGACGCUGAAGCGCGAAAGCUAGGGUAGCAAACGGG